rnacentral:lncRNA from 1 species
CCGCCUCAAGGAAACGCUCCGUGAUCGCUCUCUCUAAAAUAGCACCCCCUGAAUUUGAUUCUGCUCUUCUCACCCUGUUUUUCUCCCCAGAGCUUUUGUCAUUACGUGGCAUGAUGCCACCUAGCAGAUGACUUACUGAUGGUCUGUCUCCCCUAAUAAAACGCCAGCUCCGUGAAUGCGGGGACUUCUGCCUGUCUUGUUCGCUGGUGGGUCCUCGUGCCUGGAACAGAGCCUGGCGUGGUAGAUGCUCCGUAAAGCGCAGUGGAUGUGGGGCUGAUGGAAGCUCGGUUGUGGACGAGAGGAACGAUGAGCUUUCAACUUUCGUGAGUUAUCCUCAAUUCAGUCAUUUUCAUACAUAUACACACACGUACGCGCUUAGGAAUGUACUAUUUGCGGUUGUGAAAAUGCAGUUGCUCAUCUUCUGCCUUGAGAGUCUGGAAAAGUUUAUGAAUCUCAAAUAGUACCCGCUGGCAUUGUCCGGUACCACACAUCACUUCCCUUUCGUCUCGCCGCAUGCUUACAAUACAGGCUCAAGUUGGCAUCAGAAUUUUCCACUAGACAGUCUGCGAGUUCCAGCAGCGACUCGGAGGUGUUCCUCCCUCAAAGCCACAGCCGAGUUCAGGGCCCCGGGGGAGAAACCACCUAGUGAAUUGGGAAAGGAGUCUGGGUCACAGGCAGAGGAAUUUCCUUCCACUUUCCCCCUUUGCUCCUCUCCAGACAGACCUGCCUUUCCUCUUGGGUGUUAUUUCUUAAAGACUUCAAGCAAAGCAUUUAACCACAGGUAGAUGUUCCUUACGUGGCCAUAGAUUCUGGAUAUGGGUAUUUGGAAACUGUGGAGGUAUUCUUUGUUAAAGUAUAUGAAAUGAGAAUUAGCUUCUAAAUAUUGUAUAAGGGUUUGAUCAGAGAAAGUAAAUUACCUGGAGCCAUUUCCCUGGGGAAUCGGACCUUAUGCAAAUGUGGGAGCUGGCUCUCUGGCGCCUGUGAGCCUCUUUCUUUGAACAUGAUGCUGGGUGUCCAAGAAGGGAAGGAUGGAUGAGAACUGGGAGCAGGUGAGGAUGAGCCAGAGCCACAGACUAGAAGCCCCGCCCAAGUGACCUGCAGGAGAAGGUGGCCUCCUUCCUCCCAGAACCAAAUAGGCACCUGCCAGGAUUCGAGGAGCUGGAGGCUGCGGGCUCGUUGCUGCCCCUGGCCAGGCUGCGUGCCCCCUGCACCCACCCUCCAAGCAUAAGAGCUGUAGAUCUGCUUCUCCACGUCUACCUUCCAAAUCUUGCCUCAAAUGCCUCCUGUGGCCCACUCUAACCAGAAACUAUGCAGGGAAAGGAAUUCUGCAAAUUCCAACUUCGCUGAGUUGACACAAUCCAAACCCGCCACAAUGAGUACAUCAAAAAGUAAAUGGCGCUAAGUGAAUUGAUUUGGCCUUUUAGCAGAAAUGUCACUCCCCAGCUGUCAGCUUAAAUGUAG